rnacentral:lncRNA from 10 species
UGCGUCUUGCUGCUUUGUCACCUAGGCUGGAGUGCAGUGGUGCCAUCUCAGCUCACUGUAACCUCUGCCUCCCAGGUUCAAGCAAUUCUCCUGCCUCAGCCUCCCCCAGUAGCUGGGGCUAUAGGUGUGUGCCACCUCACCUGGCUAAUUUUUGUUUUUAGUAGAGACAGGGUUUCACCAAGUUGGCCAGGCUGGUCUCAAAUUCCUGACCUCAGGUGAUCCACCCACCUCAGCCUCCCAAAGUCCUUGGAUUACAGUUGUGAGCCACCGUGCCAGGCCUUCACCCUGUUGAAAUUAUUCCUUUUAACCCUCCAGGAGGGAGAACUUACUGUGUAAAUGUAUAAAGCCUGAGAGUAUAAAUGACAGGGAGACAAACUCUGCCCAGAAAGCUGAGGCUUCUCCCAGGGUAGCAGGGGCAGGGUAGCCUCCUGUAGAAGAGACAUUCAUAGGGACUGAACUGACCAGCUUGACAUCCCUCGGUCCAGAAUCUAUGGGCCCUCCUUCCUAGGACCACCAAGGCCCUGUCUACUGGGGUUUUAGUGUCUCUGCCUAUCCAGGCUGGAGACUUCAGAAUGGGUUGCAAAUUGGGAGAUUAAGGAUAAAGAGAGAGAUGCUCCAAGCCCUGGGUCUUUGUGGGCAAAGAAUUUCACUCAGCAAACUGUGUGGUUACUGCCCUUUGCAGGGCAUCUUCAUUUGGGGAAAGACAUGAAAUGCUAAUGGCCAAACCCCCCCUCACCCCCACCACCUUCAGGCCGAACACCGCAGUGGGGGGAAGAUGCGUAGAGGUGGGGGAAGAAGUGUGCAAAGAAAGGGCCUGGAUGGGUGAGUCCAGAGGCCAUUCUGGAGUGGGCCUGGGU